GGCAGUGUAGUGGUAGUGGUGCUGUGUAUCUUAGGCUUCACAAGCCCAAGGUCAUGGGUUCAAUUCCUACCAUUGGCA